rnacentral:rRNA from 1 species
CACGUAGGGUGCGAGCGUUGUCCGGAAUUAUUGGGCGUAAAGAGCUCGUAGGCGGUGUGUCGCGUCGGCCGUGAAAACUUGGGGGCUUAACUCUGAGCGUGCGGUCGAUACGGGCAUCACUUGAGUUCGGUAGGGGAGUGGGGAAUUCCUGGUGUAGCGGUGAAAUGCGCAGAUAUCAGGAGGAACACCGGUGGCGAAGGCGCCACUCUGGGCCGAAACUGACGCUGAGGAGCGAAAGCGUGGGUAGCAAACAGG